AUUGACAGUUCUCUAAAAUUUCAGAAGAAAUUUUUGAGCUACAAAGUUAUCCCUGCUUGAACAACUAAUCUAAUCUAAUCUAUUCUAAUCUAAUCUAAUCUAAAUUGUUCUGCUAACUGGAGAACCGCUGCGUAACUUUUUCAUUGUACUUUGCCUGAGUCCCAAUUUCUGUGUUGCAGGCAUCAUUAUCUAAAUUUAUUCGAGAAGAGAGAGUAUUUGUAAUUAGUCCAAUGAUUUUUUUUUGUUUGCUAAAUUCCAACAUCACAACCACAACCACCUCCCUGAACUUCAGGAGGGUUCACUUUCAAGUGAAUGUGUGUAUGUUUGCAUGUGCGCAUGCAUUUCAUAGGUGUGUAUAGGCACACAAUUGAUGCGUAGGGGUGUGGAGUGGUCAACUGAUGAAGCACUGUGGAGGCAGAGAGCUCUGGAGAGUGGUGCAUAUGAGUGGGAUGGAAGCCUCCACUCUUCUGAGUGACACACAUAUACACGCACACACUAAGCUAGAGGAGGUGGAGGCAGCCGAGCUUGCUUCCCCGGCUGUCCAUUGAUCAGUGGAGAGGUUGGUAGACUUAAAAGAUCAGUGUGGAGACUGCUGGAGAGCAGAGAGGAACGAAGAGGACGACAACAGCAACGACAGAGGCGGAGAGGAAGAAGACGUAGAGAAAAGUGUGUGAAGAUGAAGAUGUAGAUGACAGCAUCUGAGGGGUGUCCUGGGUUUUAACAGUCUGGAUGAAGCCCUCUGGUGGACCAGCGCACACUCUGUACUACUGUAUAAUUAUAAUAAGAACAAUGGAUUCACCAGCUUUACCAUACGUGACAGCCAGUACCAGAACUGCUGUCAGAGUUCUUGCAAAAAGAAAAGUGUCAGCCCAGAGGAAGAACCCAAGCCAGAAUCUCAAACUAGGUUCAGAAACAUCACAUUUAUGUGACAACAAGAGCUAGAACCUGUCAUGGAGGCAGAAUCACUGCGUGAGCCAAAACCAAAGUGGACUCACAAUAAUGCAGGCCAGAACCAGAACCAGAGCCCAAGCCAGAGUUGGAAGCCCAAAUCAGAGCCACAUGCUGAGCCAUAUUCAUGAUCAGAUUCCAAUAACUAGAGUGAGAAUCAGAGCCAGGAUCAAAACCAAAUUUGGACUACAUUAGAAUAAGGGCCACAACACCAGAAGCAGAUUUGAAGCAAGAACCAGAUGCAAGCCUUGAACCAAAACCAGGGGGAGGCCAAAAAGCCAGUGUGAGAGUCACGUGAAGUACCAGAAUCUGAGUCUUGACCAGAGUUGGAGGCGGACCAGAUGGAGAAGAAGUCUGGACCCAAGUUAGAGCAAAAACGAAAACCUGGUUCACAGUAGCAACCUUCGAUCAGAACUAGAAGCUGGCUGUGUGCCUGGACCAAAGCAAGAAUCUUAAAUACCUCAAGAGAAGAAUCGAACUAGCUGAGAAACUCCACUCACUGCCUCUACAGAAGCCCUGAGAGCUGAGCAACAGCAAGAGCCAGAACCAGAGUAAGAACAUGAUCCAGAGUCACAACCGGAAUACCGUCAGAACCAGGACCCAAGCUACAACCCACUACUGAGUUCGAGACACAACAGAAACCUACGACGAAAGAGACAAAUGUCAGAACCAGAGUGGCAACCAGAAUCAGUCUGAAAUCCUUCUUUGUGAUAUUCACGUAACACGCGUUGACGUGUCGCGCUGCGUGAGCUUCCGAACUUCUUUAACGUUGGAAUGCGCCUUCUAUUCUCUCGCUCUCUCUCUCUUCCUCUCUCAGUCUCCCUCUCUGUCUCUCUCAUACACACUCACUCUGUUACCAACUCACUCACUCACUCACAGACACAAACAGUGGCGUGGGGACAUGCGGCCAGCAGACGCAGCCACGGACUCACAUCAACCUGCUGAAGAAGAAGCAGACACGAUGGAGAUGAUGCGAUGACCUCUUGUGUUUUUCAGUGCUUCCAGCUCACGUUGAUGUGUUGAUAGUUGACAUUUUCCUAUUGACAUUUUUUGAGAAAAGAUGCAAAGGUGGUAAGCAUUUGGGGUGUAACAGUAAAGGAAAAUCGUGUUACAGUACGGUACGAAAAGAAAAGAGUCACAAAAAAAUGUGAGAAUACAUAUACAUAUAUAUAGUCAACUAGUAGCUGAUGACGUAAUUUACAUUUUUCAGCAAGAGGGAACACUUAGAAUAGUAAUUUGUAUUCAAAUUAAACAUACAGCCUAUAUACAGAAUUUACACAAAACGAUUAAAAUAAAAAAAUCCCAGUGUCCAACACAAUAACGGGAUGCUGGGCCAGUAGAUUUGAGUUUUACUAACCUGUUGUGUAAUUUUACUGGCAUAAAAAAUGAAAAUAACUCUUCUAAGAAAACAACGUGUUUAUUUAUUGAAAUUUCGUGUAAUUGUUUACUAACAGAACAAACGGUUAAUUUAUCAUAUCCCCUAAAUUAAAAAAAAAAGUAGUUAGGGCAAAGACCUCUCUCGGGU